rfam:TPA: Bos taurus chromosome 8, whole genome shotgun sequence.
UCCCUGGUGGUCCAGUGGCUAAGACUCUAUGCUGCAAAUGCAGGGGUCUGGGUUUGAUCCCUGGUCAGGGAA